rnacentral:rRNA from 1 species
AGAGUUUGAUCCUGGCUCAGGAUGAACGCUAGCGGGAGGCCUAACACAUGCAAGCCGAGCGGUAGAGAUUCUUCGGAAUCUUGAGAGCGGCGUACGGGUGCGUAACACGUGUGCAACCUGCCUUUAUCUGGGAGAUAGCCUUUCGAAAGGAAGAUUAAUAUCCCAUAAUAUAUUGAUUGGCAUCGAUUGAUAUUGAAAGCUCCGGCGGAUAAAGAUGGGCACGCGCAAGAUUAGAUAGUUGGUGAGGUAACGGCUCACCAAGUCGAUGAUCUUUAGGGGGCCUGAGAGGGUGAUCCCCCACACUGGUACUGGGACACGGACCAGACUCCUACGGGAGGCAGCAGUGAGGAAUAUUGGACAAUGGGUGGAAGCCUGAUCCAGCCAUCCCGCGUGAAGGAAUAAGGGCCUAUGGCUUGUAAACUUCUUUUGUACAGGGAUAAACCUACCCUCGUGAGGGUAGCUGAAGGUACUGUACGAAUAAGCACCGGCUAACUCCGUGCCAGCAGCCGCGGUAAUACGGAGGGUGCAAGCGUUAUCCGGAUUUAUUGGGUUUAAAGGGUCCGUAGGCGGGCUUAUAAGUCAGUGGUGAAAGCCGGCAGCUUAACUGUCGAACUGCCAUUGAUACUGUAAGUCUUGAGUAUAUUUGAGGUAGCUGGAAUAAGUAGUGUAGCGGUGAAAUGCAUAGAUAUUACUUAGAACACCAAUUGCGAAGGCAGGUUACCAAGUUAUAACUGACGCUGAUGGACGAAAGCGUGGGGAGCGAACAGGAUUAGAUACCCCGGUAGU